rnacentral:misc_RNA from 1 species
AAAAAAGGGGAAAAAAAGAAAGUGCGUUAUGGAUAAAGAUAAAUGAGUGAAUAGAGGAGGAAACAUUUGUUGAUUAUGAAUACGAACGAGGCCAGAAAAAGCCAAUCUUUCCAAAGAACGAACAUGAAUUCUCUUUCUCAAAUUUGUAGCAAAUACAAAUUACCAAAACCAGAAAGGUAGUAUGAAUGAAUGUAUCAGGAUUGAAAUGAAUGAAUGUAAGGCACCACCAACCAGUGUCAUUGUGGCACAUGUGUUGGUUGAGGAGCUGGGAGGUUAUACAAGGAUUUCAGCUGCCUGCUUAUCAGCUUGCUGUUGUGGAGGGCCAUUUGAAGUUGCACGUCAUCAGACCACCAUUGUUCUAAGCCGUGAGCCUCAAGGAACUUCUGUUUUCCCUUUGACAUGACAAACAACUUUGCUGCAACUUGUCCAUUUGUAAAAUUUGUGCAACCCAGAUUCUCCUUAUUAGCAUUUUUAUCUUCAGGUCCAUCAGCGUCAGUGUAAUAGCAACAAAUGUAAUCACUAUUAUUCACAUAUAAAUGUGGUACCCAUUUUUUCAAUCCUAUAGAAGUUUUAUCCAUGAAAUUCGGCACCCAAUUCCUGAAUCCUAUUGUAGAACUUUUGUCCCCCAUAUUGGUGGCCUGAGAUUCACUACUUGAAGGAAGCAUCGAUUUAAGUUUCUUCCAAGCAAAUCCAGCUUUUUCCCCAAUAUUCCUCAAGCUCAUGGCUAUAGAAAUUGAGGGAGGAUUAAAUAAAUGGGCUUCCACAUAUAUACCAUCUUUAGCUAAUGCUUUUCCCACUUGGAAAGCAAAGCCAGCACCCAAAGAAUGACCUGCAAUGCAUACAUUGCAGCUUCCAUAGUUUUCAGCAACCGAUUUUAAUGCGUCAAGUGCUACCUUGAAUCUAACAGAACCCUUCAAGCUUUCCCAAGCAAGAAAACGGAGGUCAUCCUCAAUAUCCCUUCGGAUUGUUGGGCUCUUGAGUAGUGUUCCUCGGAGUGCUAAAACAGCUUUAGGUGCUCCACUAGGUCUGAUGAGUAUCAUAUCAGCAAAUGCUGCAGUUCUGUCCCAUUCUAAAACUGCGCCAAAUAUUGAUCCAUCUCUUUCAUCAACUAAAGUUUGGGUCAGUUUGUACUUGAAGCGCAUCCACCACAUUGGAGCAAGGGCAUUCUCUUCUGUUCUGUUCUCUUGUCUGUCAAGCUCAAGCAAGUAGACUGCUUGAAUGAAGCAGGCAAUUACAGUUCUCUUGUAAUUCUCAUUCUUCCUGUAUGAAUGAAUAAUAUAUAUUUUAAGGUUAUCAGCCAAACAUCUGAUAUUGCCACAAACAUAUAGUUACCAUCUGCAUAGGUAUGCAUAGACAAAUCUGCAUGGUUAUGGAUGCAUUUUCUCAUUCAUAUAAGCAAAUCUGUGUAGGUAUAAUGAAUCUUCUUAUUGAAAAAAACCGUGUUGCUUUCCUAAAUAGUUUAAGUGAAAAAAUAACAUGAAACAAGAAACGUAAACAAAAAUGAAACAAGAAACGUAAACAAACUUUCCAUAAGAAAAGUAAUCUAGUAGUGUCGAUGAAUAAUUUCUACGAACCAACUGUCAGUAUCAACCACGUCUUCUCUUCUUCUUACAUCAAGGACAAUAGCUAGGAAUUAUUAGUAGAUUUAUAUACAAAGUACUAUGAAGUAAAACAAAUGCAAACAAAUUUACUGCCCAAAAGAAACAAGGGCUGCUAAAUAACCAUAACAAUAUAUCAGAGAGAUAUCCAAUUUAAAUUAUCAUGGAUACCCCAUACCAUAAAGAUCUAACAUUUUUCCCUAAUUCAAAAUCAGCAGAACUAGCAAAGGGUUGACUCUUUUCUGAUUCCUACUGGGCAUCAAAAAAUUCUGGUAGUACCAAAUCAAGAUGCAAGGAUAACAAAAUCAAGUUACUGAAAAUCUUUUGAAAGAUAUGAUUCCAUGUGUUAGUAAAGGCAAACUAUGAAUGAUUAUAUAUAACUUCAGAAAUCAGAAUGUUACUCCCUAGUCAUCAACUGUUGAAUAUUCAUGCAGCAAAUUUCUGCACAAGCACAUUUCAAACCCAGAUCGAUGGCAAGAAAUGAUCCAUCACCUGGAAAUUAUUGACUUCAGACCAGUAGAAAGACAAUUAUAUUAGAUAACCAUGAUGAUUGCAUUAUUAAAUCAAAAAAGGAAAAUUCCAAACGUUUGUGUAUGUCAUGAAUUCUGAAAAUAAACAAAGAAAACACAGCAUUUUACAAGCCCUGAUUAUCUUAGCUAGAACCCAAAUUAUAUUUUUUAGUAUUCUGAAUUCACAUACUAAAUUUAAACAAAUCCUCUCUUCAUAUACACACUAAGAUACUCGACGCGAAAAAACCCACUAGAUUUUUCUACUUAAAAUCACUUACUUUUAAGUGAAAUGUUCUUAAGUAGCUAAUGGGUAAACCAAUUGGGAAAUUUGAAACAAAAGCGAGACGGGAAAGAGCAUGCUAACCAACUGGAAUUGAUAAGGUCUCUCCAAUUGGGAGAAGCAACAUUUCGAGGCCCAGAAACGUGAAAUGCAUAUGGGUGUGCUUCCUCUUCCGCCAUAGCCUCAUCUGUCCCUUGAUUUUCCAUACUGCAAUCUUCUCUUCCUCUCUUCUUUGUUAGUAAUUGAUUUCUUUCCAUUUGCUAGGCUUGUCAACGAAGAAAGGAUUUUCUUUUGGCUUUUUGGGAUUUUGAUUCUUUGUUCUCUAUAAAUUGC